rnacentral:misc_RNA from 1 species
AAGUCGUAACAAGGUUUCCGUAGGUGAACCUGCGGAAGGAUCAUUACCAAAUUUGCUUGCUUGGAUGGAGUAAUCCGUUCUGCAACAAAACCCCCUCUGCGUACCUGUACACUGUUGCUUCCGUCGGCCUGCGGGUCGCGGCGCCGCUCCGGCGGUGUCUGCGGUCCCCUCCGGUGCCUGACCGAGACUGGUCGGCUGGGGAGCUGCCGGCGGUAAGCCAAUGUCUAAACUCUGUAUUAUUAUUUGAUAUAGUCUGAGCUUUAUUGCUACAAACAUAAACAAGUUAAAACUUUCAACAACGGAUCUCUUGGUUCUC